GACGAACGCUGGCGGCGUGCUUAACACAUGCCAGUCGAGCGGAAAGGCCACUUCGGUGGUACUCGAGCGGCGAACGGGUGAGUAACACGUGAGUAAUCUGCCCCUCACUUUGGGAUAGCCACCGGAAACGGUGAUUAAUACCGGAUAUGACCAUAUGUCGCAUGGCGUGUGGUGGAAAGUUUUUCGGUGAGGGAUGUGCUCGCGGCCUAUCAGCUUGAUGGUGAGGUAAUGGCUCACCAUGGCUUCGACGGGUAGCCGGCCUGAGAGGGUGACCGGUCACACUGGGACUGAGACACGGCCCAGUCUCCUACGGGAGGCAGCAGUGGGGAAUAUUGGACAAUGGGCGGAAGCCUGAUCCAGCAACGCCGCGUGAGGGAUGACGGCCUUCGGGUUGUAAACCUCUUUCAGUACCGACGAAGCGCAAGUGACGGUAGGUACAGAAGAAGCACCGGCCAACUACGUG
rnacentral:rRNA from 1 species